rnacentral:rRNA from 1 species
AACGAACGCUGGCGGCAGGCCUAACACAUGCAAGUCGAGCGCGCCCUUCGGGGUGAGCGGCGGACGGGUGAGUAACGCGUGGGAACGUGCCCUUUUCUACGGAAUAGCCUCGGGAAACUGAGAGUAAUACCGUAUACGCCCUUUGGGGGAAAGAUUUAUCGGAAAAGGAUCGGCCCGCGUUGGAUUAGGUAGUUGGUGGGGUAAUGGCCUACCAAGCCGACGAUCCAUAGCUGGUUUGAGAGGAAGAUCAGCCACACUGGGACUGAGACACGGCCCAGACUCCUACGGGAGGCAGCAGUGGGGAAUCUUAGACAAUGGGGGCAACCCUGAUCUAGCCAUGCCGCGUGAGUGAUGAAGGCCUUAGGGUUGUAAAGCUCUUUCAGCUGGGAAGAUAAUGACGGUACCAGCAGAAGAAGCCCCGGCUAACUCCGUG